UACGUAGGGUGCGAGCGUUGUCCGGAAUUAUUGGGCGUAAAGAGCUCGUAGGCGGCUUGUCGCGUCGGAUGUGAAAGCCCGGGGCUUAACCCCGGGUCUGCAUUCGAUACGGGCAGGCUAGAGUUCGGUAGGGGAGAUCGGAAUUCCUGGUGUAGCGGUGAAAUGCGCAGAUAUCAGGAGGAACACCAAUGGCGAAGGCAGCACUCUGGGACGGUACUGACGCUGAGACGCGAAAGCGUGGGGAGCAAACAGG
rnacentral:rRNA from 1 species